UUUAUGUUUGUUUACAUUUUUCUCAACUGUGAAUGGUGCCAUGUAUGGUCUGCAGGUGUUUUCAUAAGUUUUGAUAAAUUUUAAUUUUUAUAAUAUAUUUGUGUAUAUUUUAUGGUAGUAAUAAAAUAGACUGGUAUCCACAUAUAUUUUAUAUAUUCAUGACAUAUAUUUUUCUUAAUUUUUUUGAUAUUUCUAGGAAAUUACAUCAUUUCUGAAGAAUAAUAGCCCCCUAAAGAUGUCCAUGUCCUAUUUCCUAAAACCCCCAAAUAUGUUACAUUAUGUGGUGAAAGAGACUUUGAAAAUAUGGUUACAAUUAUGGACCUAGAUAUGGGCUAAGUAAUACAUGAGACCUUAAAAGUGGAGAACUUUUCCCAGCUGAUGUUGGAAGAGAUGAGUCAGAGAGGUGAGGCAGAAGGGUGUUCAGAGAGAUUCAAAGCGUGAGAUGGAAGUAGGGAGCUAUGAGCCAAGGAAUGUGGGUGGCCUCUAGAAGCUGAGAAUAUCCCCCAGCUGACAGGCAGCAAGGAAACCAGAAAGUCAGUGCUGCAACUACAAGGAACUGAACCUUGUCAAAAACCUGGCUGAAUCUGGAAGCAGUUCUUUCCCAGAGCCUCCAUUAAGUAACACAGACAGCCAAUACCUUGAUUUCAGGUUUGCAACACCCAGAGCAGAAAAAGCCAAUUGAGCCCACUGGACUUCUAACCUACAGAACUGAGAUAGUAAAUUGUAUUGUGUAGAGCCACUAAUUUUGUUGUAAUUUGUCAUGGCAGCAAUAGUUAACUAAUGCAAAGGGGUGGGAAUCCAGAAGUGGCUUAGCUGGGUGAUUCUGGCUUAGGACCUCUCAUGAGGUUGUAGUGAAGUUGUCAGCCAGGGUGUGACUGUGGUGGAAGGAUGUACUUUCAAGCUGACUCACAUGGUUGUUGGUAGGCCUCCAUUCCUCACCAUGAGGGCCUCUUUCCAGGGCUGUGCAUGAUGUGGCAGCUGACUUCCCAGUGUGAGUGGGGAGAGAGAGAGAGACAGUGAGAGCAUGUGGGUACACAGUAUAGAAGCCAUAAUGUUUUUUAAAGUCAAAUCUCUAAUAUGAUGUAUCGUUAUGUUUGCUGUAUUCUGUUGUUCACAUGGACCAACCCUGGGAUAAUAAUGAAUUACAUUACAGAGGAAUGUGAUUACCAGGACGCAGGGAUCAUUGGGGGAUCAUGUUGAAGGCUGGUUACCGUAAGUAUGUGUGCCUAAGAUGACAAACUGUCAGUUCCGUAUUACCUAAUUAGCCAUAUAUAAUCCCAGGUCUGCAGUGUAAUUUUAAGCAAGUUAUUUAGCCUCUCUAAAACUCCAGUUAUUCAUUCAAAAUUGAAAUAGUUGAAAUUAGUUUUAUGUGUCAACUUAGCUAGCUUAAGCAAAUAAGGUGUUUCUUAAAGGUCUCAGGACUUACUAUUUUUGAAUAUGCGAUUUGAAGAUUAAGGAUCUUGAGAUAUUUUUGAUAAGUUAAAGGAAUGGUUGAAUAUAGAAGACUAUCACUGAUUUACCUUGUCUCAGAUUAUUCUUGAACUGGUCAAGUUUGUCAUAUCAUGUGAAUAUGGCUGCUCCCUCUGUAAUGACAUAGAUUGUUCCUAGAGCUGCUGAGUGGUGCCUUUUUUGCAAGGGGCACUAUUCUCAAUGAGGUCUUUAUGAGUGGCACUUGUCAAGUUGUGCAGUGGGCAGUCUGUGUAUCCCUACACAGUGGCCCUGUAUUUAUGUAUUUUUGACAAUUUUAGGACUUAAGUCCGUAGGUAUAAGUGUCUCUUUUGUUUGUUGGUGUGUCUUGUAGCAUAGUGCCUAGCGCAUGAUUACUCAAUAAAUAUUUGUUAAAAGAAUGGAUGAGUGCAUGAGUGAAUGGUUGAUGGGGCAGUAUCACUAUUCAACUACUUAAAUGCUUUUCAUCGUAUACCAUUCUUUUAGUCAUCACAAUAUUUUUUAUUUAAUUUUAUAUUGUGAUACCAAGAAGAUUCUAUUUACACUAAAGAAUGAAAUAGAACAAUUUGUAAGAUAGUGGAAUAAAUGAAGGCAUAAGUACUUGCUAGUUAGUUUCUGAUAGAUUAAGGCAAUUUUCCAAUUCAUCUUUCAUUACAUAAGUCCAAAAUGGAUUCACAGUAAACCUGUUUGUAAAUAGUAGUCUCUUAUGUGUUGAAGAAUUGCUUUCAGUUUGUGUAUGCUCAUCAUAAGUAUAGAAAAGUUUAAUAUUCUUAAGUAUUUUAUGGGUGGUAUGCAAGAUAGUUUAGUUGAAGAAUCUUUUCAGGAAUAUUUUAGUUGAGGAUAUUGUAUCUUGAGGAAUUAUGCUAUUCUCUCUUACUUAAACCUUUAGAAAUGUGUAUGGUUUUAAGUAAAAAUUUAACAAAGACCUAGGAAGAGUGUGUUUUUGUAACUCCACUAAUAUUUAUUAGCUACAUUUCUACAACAUUUUUUUUUGAGACAGGGUCUUGCUGUGUUGCCCAGGCUGGAGUGCAGUGGCCUAAUCACGGCUCACUGCAGCUUCGAGCUCCUGGGCUCAGGAACUCCUGGGCUCCUGGAAGCUCCUGAGAUACUCCUAUCUCAGCUUUCCAAGUUGCUGGGACUACCAGUGCCUGUCACCACUGGUAUUUUUUGUAGAGACAGGGUUUUGCUAUGUUGCCCAGGGUGGUCUCAAACUCCUGGGUUCAAACAGUUCCCCCGCCUUGGCCUCCCAAAGUGCUAGGAUUACAGGCAUGAGCCACUACGCUUGCCCUACAUUUCUGCUUAUUAGUUUCAGUUAUAAGAAAUUAUGAGGGUAUGUGUGUCACAAUCCAAAAAGAAGUACUCUUUAAGACUGAUGCUUUUUUAAAUUGUAUUUUUGGUCAUCCAAAAGAGUUGUGUUACUCAACUUCAAUUCAAUUUUGAUGUGUUUCUUAUGUGAAAAUCGCUAUUCUUUUAUUACAGGAGAGGCAUAGUCCUUGCUCUUUAGAGUUUAUGAUAUAGUAUUUGAUGAUUUGGGAUAUGUAAAACUAAGAGAAGUAUAAACAUAACUUUAAUAUGAUCAGUAUUCAAAAAGAUAUUAACAAUGUGCUAUGAAGUUUCAAAAUAAACCAUAUUGUUUGAAGAAUUAGAACAAGUUUCAUUAAAUAAAGUAGGGGGUGAAAGAACAGGUAUAAUUCUGAAAAGCAGGGUUGGAGUGGCGAAAACAGUGUAAGAAAACUGCAGGUAUCUUUCAGCUUAUAAAAUCCUGAACCAUUUGGCCUGUGCAACUUUUCAUGGCUAACUUUUUACUUUUAAUUAUUGCUCUGAGCGAUGAUAAGAUGGACUUGAAUAAUUUAAACUCUGUAAAAAUAAUACUGAAUAAUUUAGACUCUAUUGUAAAAAUAAAUUAUAUGAUUAAUUUGCUGUUCUAUCCUGCAACCAGCCAGUUUACUGAGGAUAGGAGAUUGUGGUAGUAUUAGCUAGACUAGAGGAUAAUAUAGAAUAUAGAGACUUAUAGAACUGAGAGGGACAUAGAGAGACCAGUUAAUUCAUCAUCCCCGUUUUGAAGAUUAAGAAACAACAGAGAGAUAAGUGCCCAGUUUUCUACACAUAUUUACUCUGAUGGAACUGUUCCUGUGUAAGUCUAUGUCUUUCAACUGUCAGUCCAUUAGGAUUAUUUGAGGUAGGCGUCUAAUUCAUUUUUGUUAAGGUAACUGAAUCUGAAAUAUUUAAUUUGUGCAGAAUCUGUAGAUUCCUACAAACAAAUCAGUCCAGUGCUUUCCCUGCUUUCUGUGUCUCUUACUAGAGAUCUCAUUUAUAGCUCACCUAGAAGACGGUAGAGAAUAUAUGAAAUAUAUAAUAUCAAUUUGGCUGUAGGAGAGACUGUGAGUGGAAUGGAUAGGAACAUAAGUAUGCCAGUUGGCAUAAGUCCUUCAUGGCACAGAA
rnacentral:lncRNA from 1 species